ensembl:lncRNA
CAUUUAGCGUCACCAUUUCACUGUGCAUUAUUAUUCAUUCCAUGCUUGAGUAAUAGAGAACAGACUGUCCCCAGGCAUUAACCUCUUUGCAUUUCCUGUACGGACUUUAGAAGAUGGAAAAGACACCCAAGAAUACACCUAAAAAGAGUCUAGGGACAGAGGCAGAAGAGAUCUAGUUGUGAAAGCUCAGCCGUGUAAAGCUCAUAAACCCUGGAUGGCUGCAAAAACUCUGGAACAUGAUUUUGAGCAGUUGGGCACCGAGGGAAGGAGGAAAAUAUCCUUGGGAACGGACACAAGAGAUUCCAAACAAGGACUGCUUCCUGCUUCCUAAUCCAGCAGAGGAGGUCCACAGACACUGUGUGUCUUGAUUGAAGCAACGCAUUGGAUAAAAGUGACCUGGCCUCUCAUGACAUUCCUAAGGGCCAGCAGCAAGACCUGGAAGACAGGAACCCUGGUAACAAAUGCCUCCGUGCAUCUGUAAACUGAGAAAAUCACCAGCUGCAAACCUCACAGAGUUGCUCUAAGAAGAAAAUGAGAUAACAGAGGUGAAACAGCUGAAAAAAUGGCAAGAACGGUACACACGUAGAGGGACGUGAGGCUUAAUAGUAGGCGAAGCGUGGAAUGGGCCCAUUUUCUUCCACUUCGAAGAGCAAAACUUUAGAUGACUGGAGAGAGAAAUUCCAAGCACACUUUCCUGUUGAUUGGAGCUGGCCAUUGUCAGGAAGGCAGCUUCAUGAAGCAGCGAGGGAGCUUCUGGUCAGGGCAGACACCCGGGCAGACAUGCCUACCCCAGCCUCUGGAUGUGGUCCGGUGAUUUCUGUUGCUGAAGGAGACUUGGACUGGAGGUGACUCAGUUCUCUCUGUCAUCUUAAUGUUCCCUGAUUUUGCUUUAGCAAUUUGAUAUGGAGAGAAUAUCUCUGGUCUGUUUGCUAUGUUUUCUUUUUAAUGUGUAUAUUUUAGUCCAUGCAUUUCAUGAUGGCUGUGAUAAAAGUGCUUUGUCUUCCUAUAAAUUAUGCAAAUAUAUGAU